UUGAGUAAUGCUUUCCUAUGGGCGGUUUGAAUGCGUGCGCGGUCGCAUUCGGAGCUGAGAGGCUGAGGGAUCCUCAGCGCCAAGGGAGACCGGCGCUGGAGAAAGGUAAGUGCUGAAGACACACACACUCUCACUUACAGACGCAUACACACUAGCUAACAGACACACACAUUUACUGACAGAGAUACAGUCAGCGACAGACAUACAUACACACUCAUGUACAAAACAUACACUCUCAUUGACAAACACACACUCAGUAACAGACAUCAAACAGACUCACUAACACACACACUCAGUAAGACACACACAGUAACACACUCACUGACACUCACUAGCAGACACACACACUAACACACUAACACUCACUAGCAGACACACACUAACACUCACUCUAACACCCACACUAACACUCACGCACACUAACACUCACGCACACUAACACUCACACACACUAACACUCACACUAACACUCACUCUAACACUCACACACACUAACACUCACACACACUAACACUCACACUAACACUCACACACACUAACACUCACGCACACUAACACUCAUGCACACUAACACUCACUCUAACACUCACUCUAACACUCACUCUAACAC